UUAUCAGGUGUUGCAUGGCUGUCGUCAGUUCGUGUCGUGAGAUGUUUAGUUAAGUCUUUUAACGAACGCAACCCUUAGACAAAGGUUAAUAGUUUUAAUUAACUACUUCUUGUCACAGCAAGCUCUAAGCUUCGAGGAAGGUAGGGAUGACGUCAAGCCCUUAUGGCCCUUAUGGGUUGGGCUACACACGUGCUACAAUGGCAAAAUCAAUAAGAAGCAAAGAUGUAAGUCAGAGCAAAUCUUUAAACUUUGUCUUAGUUCGGAUUGCGGAUUGCAAUUCAUCCGCAUAAAGUUGGAAUCACUAGUAAUCGUAGAUCAGAAUGCUACGGUGAAUUUGUACCUGGACCUUGCACACACCGCCCGUCACAUGCCGGAAGUAAACGUUCUUUGAAAGUUUUUAACUAUAUACAACUUUUUUUUUAUUUUUGAGUAAAAAAAAAAUUAAAAUUGUACAUAAAAAAAAAUAGGAGGAAGUUUAUAACUGGGAUGAAGUCGUAACAAGGUAGUCGUACGGGAACGUGCGGCU
rnacentral:rRNA from 12 species